rnacentral:misc_RNA from 1 species
GCGAGUAUAACUCUCUAAAACCAUUGUGAACGAACGAACCCGUUGCUUCGGCGGACGGCUCUGCUGCCGCCGGAAGAACGCAAACCUCUGUAUUACUGUCCUCUCUGAGUACUUAUACAAUAAGUCA